GGAAGACUCAAUGCCGCCAGCAUGGAGAACGCAUUCCAGUGCCUUCACCGGCAUUGAUGCAUUGCCACCUCGAGCUGCAACAUAGUUGGGACAUCGCUUGAAACACCACACCAUAUGCGCAAUCUCAUUCUGCAUCACCACAACCAUCUAUAAAGGAACCAUCGACUUCCAUGGUAGUGUAGUGAAGCACAGGCUGCCUGAAGCCAUCAACUACAUCACAGCAG
rnacentral:misc_RNA from 1 species